rnacentral:rRNA from 1 species
UACGUAGGGCGCAAGCGUUGUCCGGAAUUACUGGGCGUAAAGGGCUCGUAGGCGGCCAACUAAGUCGGAUGUGAAAUCCCCAGGCUUAACUUGGGAACUGCAUCCGAUACUGGAUGGCUUGAAUCCGGGAGAGGGAUGCGGAAUUCCAGGUGUAGCGGUGAAAUGCGUAGAUAUCUGGAGGAACACCGGUGGCGAAGGCGGCAUCCUGGACCGGCAUUGACGCUGAUGAGCGAAAGCCAGGGGAGCAAACGGG